AUUGAACGCUGGCGGCAUGCUUUACACAUGCAAGUCGAGCGGCAGCGCGGGGGCAACCCUGGCGGCGAGCGGCGGACGGGUGAGUAGCGCAACGGAACGUAUCACGUAGUGGGGGACAACCCAGCGAAAGCUGGGCUAAUACCGCAUAUGCUCUACGGAGGAAAGUGGGGGACGCGCGAGGGCCUCACGCGAUGUGAGCGGCCGAUGUCCGAUUAGCUAGUUGGUGGGGUAAUGGCCUACCAAGGCGACGACCGGUAGCUGGUCUGGGAGGAUGAACGCCCAAUCUGGGACUGAGACACGGCCCAGACUCCUACGGGAGGGAGCAGGGGGGAAUUUUGGACAAGGGGGGAAACCCUGAUCCAGCCAGGCGGCGUGCGGGAAGAAGGCUUUCGGGUUGUAAACCGCUUUUGUCUGGGAAGAAAAGGCUCGGGUCAAUACCCCGGGUUCUUGACGGUACUGGAAGAAUAAGCACCGGCUAACUACGUGCCAGCCGCCGCGGUAAUAC
rnacentral:rRNA from 1 species